AGCUCAGGUGUGUGCAAUGAACCUGAGUGAUGGAAGGGCUGGAGCCAGGAUCCACCCCUUCCCAGCCCUCAUUUAAGGGUUGGCAGGGAAGAUGAGGGCAUCUUGCUGGAGAUCCCUGUGUACCUGGGGCCUUCUGAAGAGCCCAGGGUAGGCGUGGGGUUGCACAGACAGAGCCCUUUGUUCUGAAGGCUGACAAGCACAUGGAGAUCAGCUCUGACCUCAAGCUCAGGAUGCCCGAGGAUUUCACGAGCACCCAAGGACAAAGGCUGGCAAGCGAUGAAAGGCCUCCUGCUCUCAUUUACUGCACCGGUGUCCUCAGAACUACGUCGGUGAGGAUGGAGGCUGCUGUCAUCAGUGAGGGCUGAGUUCUUAGGAAGAAGUCCCAGCUUCAUUGAAGAUAGUGGCAAAACUCCCACAAACUUCCAGCAGCCAAAGCUGCCUCCCCAGAGUGCUGUUUUUCUCCAAGGUGAUGAGCAGCCACAACUCAGAUUGACACUAAUGGGAGUUGGGAGUCCCUGGCAGCUUCAUAAAGUCAAUAAACCAGCACCUAAAGCAGAGGUGUUUCAUCCUUCCAAUAUUUUAAAAUAAUUGUGGUUCCAGCCUGAUGGACAGAAGCCUGGGAGAUGAUGGAGUUUUGAUUCUGCCUGGCUGGAAGGAAAUUUGUAUUUGGUGCAGGAUAAUGAAUCAGGCAGAUGCUGUCUAAGUUCAUCUUCAGCAUUUCAGAGGCUGCUAGUUUCAUGUUGAUAAAUCAGAUGGCUGUUUUGCUUUGCAAAGCUGGUGUCUUGCCUUCCACCCCCCCUCAGCUGUACAAAUUGCUGCAAACUCACCGUGUUCCCAUAGGCCUCAGCUUGGAAAGCAGGUGAUGCCAUGGAUUCAAGCUGAGAGUGGGUGUGAGUAACAACCUGACACAGCAGCUCGGCUCCCAACCUGCACCAGCAAAGAGUGAGAGCUUCUGCGUGAGUUUUGUCUCUGCUGGGAGACAGGUCGUGGUUUGAGAGAGAUUUUCCAGGCUCUGUUAAACUGCUUUCCAAGUGCAUGGCGUGUUUCCUCAAGGCAACCGUAAUGGGCUGCACCGAAUAGCUGAUGGUUUGAGAUCAGUUCAGUACGGAUGGAUUUAAGGCUGGUUCAUUUCCAGGCAGCUGCACGUUGUUGCAGUCUGCUCUGGUGUCACAAGAGCUACUUUUUCUGCUCUUCUGGAUCACAAUAACCCCUUUAAUUCCAGAGCAAAUCCUCCCUCUUCAGCAUCCUAAAGAGCGCUCCGAGCACCGCCCCUCUGCAAUUUCCCUUUCCCUCUUAACCUUGACCUGUAAUAUGCUGAAAGUUGUUACUGAGAACUACCUUGAUCAGAAAUGACAUUACUGAAAUGUGCUCAGCCAGAUCCCACAAGAGCCCAACCAUGGUAAAGAUUCCCCGAGUCAACAGUUUGAGUUAUGGAUCAAUGCUGUCCUGGAACAGAGUGCACGGAGCCGACCGCUAUGAGGUAGCAGCUAUUAAGUUUUGUUUGCUUUCCUUCAGAGUGGCUGUAAUUUUAUUAUUAUUUUUUUUUUUUUUAAAGAGUUUGUUCUCUUAACCCAGCUGGUGCCCUGGGCACUGUUUGCACACAGCAGCUCCUCACUGCAAGGAGAAUAUGGCUGCAAGGAGCAGAGGAUGCUCGCAUUGCUGCAGUGCAAAAAAUUGAGUGCCUCAACUUGGCAGUGUUUUCAAAGUUGCUUUUUUCUUUUUUUCUUUCCUUUUUCCCUUGAAAUCUUGCUUAUUCCUAGGAGCUGCUUUCUUCAGCCUUUUCCAGUCUGGGUGCCAUAUUCACAGGCUCCAUUAGAGGGAAAUCCUCGACCCAGAAGGUUACAAUGAUCCUCUGACUACUUGAGUCCCUCUCCCAUCCAACCGAGGAACAUCUGUGUAUAUUGAAUCUUACAAGAGUUAACUUCUGGGAAGCCUGGAGCCUGCAAAUUGAAACCACUUCAGUGGGUUCUGCCUGAGACUUUUAUUUACCCCGAACUCCAGUGCAGAAAUUGAGGUCCAAACUGCUCCUUCUUCAGCCAGCGAGAGUAGCAGAUAGAGAAUCCAAGCCUGAGCUUGUGCUCAACCUGAACUCCUCCAGCAUGCAUGAGUUGGCAGGGAAUGAGCUGCUCUCCGUUUCUGGUCUUCCAGCUCUGGAAUUCUUUUCGAUCUCAGAGAUAAGAAAAAAAAAUCUCCUGAACAGAUGCGUCAUGCCUGCUUUAUUUUCCAUUAAAACCAGAGGAGAUGUUUAACUCUGUCCUAUCGGGGCGUGUGCAUGAAUGAGCUGUGCUUCUUGGAGGCAAAAUCCACCCCUUUAGCAGAGAUAUAUGGAGACUUUGGAGGAUCCACCCCCCCAAAAACACUAUCAGCUGUGGAAAAGCCAUUCAUUAGCAACCAGUAAUAGUUCUUCUUUUCUUUUCUCAGAAGAACAGGCAGUGCUAUCUAAAUAAGCUGCUUCCUGAGUUGUUUCUCAAAGUUACUGUUGGAGCUGGAGGCCAACUCUCCUCCCCCACGAGCGCAGCAGAAACAGAAUUCUUGAAGAGGAAAAGCUGAUCUGCCAUCCAGCAGACUGCGCUGCUCUUUUGGAGCUCUUCCCAUCUCUGCAACCCCCCAGGUCAAUGUGUUCCCUGCUUGCUUUUCAACCCUCAUCCCCCACAAAAAGGGCCCUUUUGGGACAGGCUGCCCGGGGAGGUGGUGGGGUUGUUGUCCCUGGUUGAGAUUGGGCUUGGAGAUCUAAGAGGUCUCUUCCAACCUGAAUGAUUCUAUCCGUGAUUCUGCGAUUUCCU